rnacentral:rRNA from 1 species
AUGAAUUGAAUUAGUUGGAACUGCCGGGGAGGGGGGAAUACCCGGACAGUUCAAGAAAUAGCGACAUUGUCUCAGUCGCAUUCCCCCACUUUUAUUUUCCUACGCCAGACAAGACAGAAAGCUAGUAAGAUGAGGCGAAUUCGGGGCCGGCUGGGCCUUACAGGUUUUGAAGGGGUAGAUAGUAAUGGAAUGAGCGGUGGUCUUGCAUUGUACUGGCAUGAAGCU